rnacentral:rRNA from 1 species
GAAGGCAGCAGGCACGCAAAUUACCCACUCCCGGCACGGGGAGGUAGUGACAAAAAAUAACGAUACGGGACUCUUAUGAGGCCCCGUAAUCGGAAUGAGUACACUUUAAAUCCUUUAACAAGGAUCCAUUGAAGGGCAAGUCUGGUGCCAGCAGCCGCGGUAAUUCCAGCUUCAAUAGCGUAUAUUAAAGUUGUUGCGGUUAAAAAGCUCGUAGUUGGUUCUGCGUGCCACGCUGUCGGUUCGCCGCCUGCCGGUGUAACUGGCAUGCCGUGGCAUGUCCUGUCGGUGGCGUUCGGGAGCCUCGUCUAGGCGCUGGCCCUUGCCAAAAGCUUGGUGCUCGGAGGCCGGGGGUAUACCCGUUCGCCUACUCUAUCCUACCUAGGUGCUCUUCACCGAGUGUCGAGGUAGGCCGACACGUUUACUUUGAACAAAUUAGAGUGCUCAAAGCAGGCUGAAAUCUCUGCCUGAAUAGUGGUGCAUGGAAUAAUAAAACAGGACCUUGGUUCUAUUUUGUUGGUUCUUAGGAACACAAGGUAAUGAUCAAUACGGACAGGCGGKGGGCAUUCGUAU